rnacentral:rRNA from 1 species
GACGAACGCUGGCGGCGUGCCUAAUACAUGCAAGUCGAACGCUUCUUUCCUCCCGAGUGCUUGCACUCAAUUGGAAAGAGGAGUGGCGGACGGGUGAGUAACACGUGGGUAACCUACCCAUCAGAGGGGGAUAACACUUGGAAACAGGUGCUAAUACCGCAUAACAGUUUAUGCCGCAUGGCAUAAGAGUGAAAGGCGCUUUCGGGUGUCGCUGAUGGAUGGACCCGCGGUGCAUUAGCUAGUUGGUGAGGUAACGGCUCACCAAGGCCACGAUGCAUAGCCGACCUGAGAGGGUGAUCGGCCACACUGGGACUGAGACACGGCCCAGACUCCUACGGGAGGCAGCAGUAGGGAAUCUUCGGCAAUGGACGAAAGUCUGACCGAGCAACGCCGCGUGAGUGAAGAAGGUUUUCGGAUCGUAAAACUCUGUUGUUAGAGAAGAACAAGGACGUUAGUAACUGAACGUCCCCUGACGGUAUCUAACCAGAAAGCCACGGCUAACUACGUGCCAGCAGCCGCGGUAAUACGUAGGUGGCAAGCGUUGUCCGGAUUUAUUGGGCGUAAAGCGAGCGCAGGCGGUCUUUCAAGCCAGAAGUGAAAGGCUACGGCUCAACCGUAGUAAGCUUUUGGAACUGUAGGACUUGAGUGCAGGAGAGGAGAGUGGAAUUCCUAGUGUAGCGGUGAAAUGCGUAGAUAUUAGGAGGAACACCAGUAGCGAAGGCGGCUCUCUGGACUGUAACUGACGCUGAGGCACGAAAGCGUGGGGAGCAAACAGG